rnacentral:lncRNA from 1 species
ACCAGAACUACGGCAACCAGCCCAAGCACCACUUCGAGCUCCAGGAAAGCUGUGUGAUGCUGAAUAGACUGCUCAACCUCUCUGAGGCUGGUGUUCUUAUCUUCAAACGGGGAUAAAAGAUCUACCAGUCUAGGCUAGAAGUCUGAAAUCAAGGCAUCGGGAGGCCAUGCUCCAAGACUCUGAGUGGAACCCUCUUUGCCUUUUCCUGACUUCUGGUGGUGCCGGCGGCCCUUGAUGUUCUUGGCUCUUUAAGCAUCUCUGCAACCUCUGCCAUCAUCUUCACACAGCGCCCUCCCUGUGCAUCUCUGUCUUCAUACGAUGUUUUCUUCUUUUCAUGAGGACAGCAGUUAUAUUGGGCUACAAUCCACCCUACUCUAAUAUGGCCUCAUCUAAUCAUACCUGCAAUGACUCUAUUUUUAAAUAAAGCCACAUUCAGAGGUACCCAGUUUAGGACAUGAACUUUUCGGGAGACACAGUUCAACUCAUCACAGAAAAUAAUCAGGGGUCUGGACAUUCUGUGUCAAUGAGAUUGAGCCACUAGUUGUUAAUAGUAUUUCACUCAUCUCUGCUGAUAUUUU